CGGACGGGUGAGUAACGCGUGAGAAUCUGCCCUUAGGAGGAGGAUAACAGCUGGAAACGGUUGCUAAUACUCCAUAUGCCGAGAGGUGAAAGGAUUUAUCCACCUAAGGAGGAGCUCGCGUCUGAUUAGCUAGUUGGUAGGGUAAAGGCCUACCAAGGCGACGAUCAGUAGCUGGUUUGAGAGGAUGAUCAGCCACACUGGGACUGAGACACGGCCCAGACUCCUACGGGAGGCAGCAGUAGGGAAUUUUCCGCAAUGGGCGAAAGCCUGACGGAGCAAUACCGCGUGAGGGAUGACGGCCUGUGGGUUGUAAACCUCUUUUCUCAAGGAAGAAGUUCUGACGGUACUUGAGGAAUAAGCAUCGGCUAACUCUGUGCCAGCAGCCGCGGUAAUACAGAGGAUGCAAGCGUUAUCCGGAAUCACUGGGCAUAAAGCGUCUGUAGGUUGUUUGGUAAGUCUGCUGUUAAAGACUGGGGCUCAACCCCAGAAAAGCAGUGGAAACUGCCGGACUUGAGUGUGGUAGAGGUAGAGGGAAUUCCUAGUGUAGCGGUGAAAUGCGUAGAUAUUAGGAAGAACACCAAUGGCGAAGGCACUCUACUGGGCCAUAACUGACACUGAGAGACGACAGCUAGGGGAGCAAAUGGGAUUAGAUACCCCAGUAGUC
rnacentral:rRNA from 1 species